rnacentral:lncRNA from 1 species
CUCGCAGUUGUAAAAGUUGGUCCCUUGAAUAACGAAUUAGCUCAUGAGCCUCAAAGCGUGAAUCUCCAGUCUUGCCGGUGGCAGCGAUGCCAUGGGGGCGUAAGAAGGGGAGGUCGAAGGGCGAGGAGGAGCUCAGGGACGAUGACCCUCCAGCGGACGCGGCGAAGGCGGGGGAGUCGAAGCGAGGAACGAGGAGUCUGCCGCCUCGGUUGCCGCCGCCACCCGGCCUCAAGCUAAUGACCGUCUGAUCUGACUGCAUACCUCGAUCGAUCCACUCUCUCGGCCCUGAUGGGAUCGCGUCAACCGUCCGAUCUAAUCGCGGUACACUUCCGCGAAGGGCAAGGAAGAGAAGCCUUCGGCGGAGCCCUCUCUCCCUAUGGAAGAAUUUUAUAUGUAACAAAGCACCAUGAUAUUUUUCUUGAAACCCCAUGUCAUGAUUCAAAACAAUACAGUAAAUAACGUGUCUCCAAUUGGAAGACACAUAAAAAUAAGGGAAAAAUAUUCAACUAGCAGAACAAAUAGACUUACAGGGAAAACGAUGAAUUGAAAUAAAUAAAUGCAAAACAAAGCUAGCAAAGAUGUACACAUAUCAACUUAAAUGAAGCAAAGAAAAUGUCUACAUGGGCAUCACAUGAUAACAACUAUUUUUCUAAGUGAUAAAGCUUGAAACAAUGUGUAAAGAAAAGUUUAAAACAAGAUGUAAAGUCACAUGACUCAAAACAGGUAGGGUUGAAAUAACUUAUGGCUACAUUAGUCAAAAAUGAACUAGUCUUAUCCCAUCUGGUUUGGCUUUAUAAAUUAUGCGCAGAGACAAAUUUCUACAUCCAUCAUGGACUAAGAAGAAAAGAAUGUACAUAUAAUACAAAGCAACAAACUAGGCCACCCCCAACCCCCAGAAGGAAGGGGAGGGGGGUUAACUGGUGGUUUCAAAGGAUAAGAAAAGAACAAGUAAAGCAAUCCAGAGGAAGAAAUUAAGAUGUUAGUAAUUACCACUUGGCCAGAAGAUACUUGAACUCUUGAAGAAAAGUGAGAGCUCAAUUGGUCCUGCCCAUCAAAUUGUUCUGGUUGUCUUGUGUUGGGUGGAUAUGACUCCUUAUUAUCACGAAUCUUAUCCCAAGACCGCUCCUCUCCAGCUGAGGACAGUUGUCCCAAUCGGCCACGCCAAUCACGAUUGUCUGGCUCGGAAUAACGAAUAUGUGAUUGACCUUGCAGCUAAGAGAUGAAAGAAAAUAUCAGAAAGAGAAUAAAUAAUAAAAGCACAUAGUAAAACAAUUAUUUCUAUGUAAAAUGAUGCGAGCAUUAUGCUUUCCAAAGGCUUCCCUUUGUAAAGAAUUGCAUAUGGUACAUGUAAUAGGCAUUGCAGGAUAUCAAAAGAGCCAAAAUACUCUCCAGCAAAAUUCAGUCCAGAUACAUAGAGGGGACAUUCAUAUCAAAUAUGUCCAUUUGGAUGACACAUGCACAUUCAAAGAAUAAGACCUCAAAGAUCUUACAUUUGCAUCAGCACGAACCCAACUUUGAUCUUCACCAUGAAGUUCUGCCUCAAUCUCUUGCUUGAUUUUCAAGAUAUCUUCAGAUGCAUGAACUGCCUGUCAUAAGGCAACAGCAACUAAACCAAGGAUAUAGAAAGAUAACAAGAUACCAGAUUACAAAACAUAUGAAUGAUGCACAAGAAGCAUCCAAAAAGAAUGCCUAGUUAAGACAUCAGAAAUGUUCUUGGCAUCAGAAAUUUCCGUCGCAGCUGAUAGGCGUCCUAGUGGUGGCAAAAUAUUGGAAAACUGAAUGAACACACCAUGAAAUUUUUUAUAAGAAUAAUAAUCAAAUGAUCAUCUGCCCAAAAAUUAGUAGGGAAGUUUCAUCUCUGAAAAGGUUUUUACAUUACAAACUUUAAGGUAAAGCUCUCAUUUAUCCCCUCCUAAGNNNNNNNNNNNNNNNNNNNNNNNNNGCCAUGAAACAUUUUGGGCAUGUAAUGUUUCUAUUAUGGACCUCAUCAAGAAAAAAGAAUGUCCCUCAAAUAGCCUUUAUUUUUAUAUUUAAAUAUAAAAUCGCUCAUCCUUUAAAGGUGAUUGGAGAGGUUUAAAUCUUUGGAUUUUGACUCAUGCUAGCACAAAAAAUCUAAAAUCGGUUUCAUCAGAUAAAAGCAUAGUGACCACAAACAAAAUAUCUCCCAUAAAAUAUUGGUUAAGUGUAGCUCAAACAGUCUUGCUCAAUUUUUAUUUGUCAGCCGUUGCUCAAUGCUUUUACUUUCAUUUAUUAAAAGAUUUUUUCCCAUUAACUUCGUUCAUUGGAUUUUCAGCAAUAAUUACUAUGAGAAACAUAGUUUUUUGAGGUUUUACUGAGGAACCAACUUAAAAGGAACAGUGACAAAGGUAAACUUUCUUGAUAAAGGAAAGCAAUGAAUACUCAAAGCUGACCAGCUUGAAGCAGGAGAUCAGAACAGAUAAAUAGUCCACAAACACAUUAGUGUACCUCUCGUAGUUGUAAGAGUUGGUCCCUUGAAUAACGAAUUCGCUCACGAGCCUCAAAGCGUGAAUCUCCAGUCUGCAGCAGAAUCAUCAAAAUCAGGUCAUAAAAAUCCAAGAUAGCAUCUUGAAUACAAUACAUCGAAGGAAGCAAAACUACAGAAGAUUUCUCACAGCAUAAACCACCAAAACUCAUCAAGAGCAAAGAAUUUUUUUUACAAGUUCUUAUGGGCCACAAAGCUUCAAUCUGACAGUAGAUUAUAAUGCUAUCAUGGAAUAAUGGAUCCUAAGUUAUUCAAAUGAACCAGACAAGCUGGGAUAGAUAUCCGUUAUGUAAUUAUUUAUCCAGAUAAAUAAAUAUACCUCCACUCUUGGAGAUUUUUUUUUUUUUUGAACAUAUACCUAGCAGCUUAAACCAUUUAAUUAUCAUGUAAAAAAGCAUUUAAACAAAUAAAGAGAAACCGGUGAUGACAAUCUCAAAAUGAUAGAACUCGUAUGUAAUUGUUCAUUUAAAUGUAUAAAUACAUCAUGAUAUUUCAUGAUUUUCUAUCUUUUGAAACUAUAUGCAAUGAUCUUCUAAAAUUCAAUUUUUGGUUACGCAAAGAAAUUUCAUAUUAUCCUUAUAAUUACAAAAUUGCAACUUCUACUCCAAAUAAAAUUUCCAAAGUCACAUUUUCUUAUUUUUAUCAUCUUACGUUCAUUAUUUUGUCAACCUUUUCCCUUUACAAAUGAAACACCUUCUAAUAAUAAAUCUCUACUUUAAUUUUCAAAUGCUCUAAAUCUAGGAAAAGAAGAAAAUUGCAGUAUUGUAUGCAAAAUCUCAAAUGAAGCCUAGGCUUCUUGGCUCAUUUGCAAUAUGGCAAAACCAUAAUAAAAAGCCCUUUUCUAUGGUAAUUGUUAUUACUUACUUUUUCGUAUCCAUGUAAAGAAAAAUCUUAUUUUUUCUUGUACUAUUAUUGAUUCUUACAACAAUAUCCUAUGCAAGAAUCUCUAUUUCAAAGUUCCUCUCUAGAUUCUAGCUUUAUACACCAUCUUGGACAAGAAGCUCCGACUCUUAAUAUCUUGCUUACAGGUCUCAUUGCAAUACCUUACGCCAUAAAACUUCAAUAUUUUGAUAAUCUCCUGUUUGUUCUUUUUCUUACAUCCAUUAUUGCAAGUCUUGUCACUUCUUGUUGUCUCACUGUAAGUCGGAUGCCCGAACUGCACUUCAUCUAGAAGUGUGGAGUUCUGGGUGUUUGUUUUGACAUUAGUAACUCUAACAUGGAGAAAUGAGGCUCCCAGUUCAGUAAAACCGCCAAACUUCACAUCCACUUUGGGUGAUAUGAAGUCAAUAUCCAUAAGUUUAAGAAGCACAUUUAAUGCCUGAUUUAAUGCCCUCAAACUCGCUCCCUCUUUACAUAUAGACCAGUAUAGCUCACUUGGGCUAUAAGUAUCAUUAAUAAUAGUUUUAGUGCCCAAAAAAUUGCUUUUCUUGUGGAACUAAUGUUCUCAAAGCUAAAGUUCUCAGAACUCGAGUCAACGAAUUAAAAUUCAGACACUUCUAAUGCUUACUUUGAAAUAAAGACAUCAUUAUCAGACGAUGGGAAAAAGAGUCAAAAGGAAGUGACAGAGGGUCCACAACUCCCUAUUGCAUUGAGAUGGAAGGUGAGAGUUAAAGAAGAGAUCUCAAUGAAAGGAUAUGGUGUCUCCUUUUGGCUUAAAAACUUGGUGUAUAAUUUUAAGAAAAAGACUGAUCAAUAGGAUCAGAUUAACAUCCAUUCUACACACACGCACACACUCUCAUGCACACAAGUGCAGAUGGGAAGCAAAGGGAAGUCUUCAUGCUUAUAAAAAUCAACUUAAUGCAUAUCAUUACUAUUUGCAGAAGUGGCUUUUUUUGUCUUUUUUNNNNNNNNNNNNNNNNNNNNNNNNNNNNNNNNNNNNNNNNNNNNNNNNNNNNNNNNNNNNNNNNNNNNNNNNNNNNNNNNNNNNNNNNNNNNNNNNNNNNNNNNNNNNNNNNNNNNNNNNNNNNNNNNNNNNNNNNNNNNNNNNNNNNNNNNNNNNNNNNNNNNNNNNNNNNNNNNNNNNNNNNNNNNNNNNNNNNNNNNNNNNNNNNNNNNNNNNNNNNNNNNNNNNNNNNNCACCUGAUGCUAUGAGUCCCUAAACAUACGAACAGUUAGUUGGAUAUUUUAAUUGCAUAACCAAGUUGAUUCCUCGUAUAUUUAUUAGAUGCGAGAAUUUUUGCAGAUAAAGUUUCAAGAAGAGGAUCAUCCUGAUAAAAUCAUCCAUCGUAUAAGUACCGUAUCAAAGAACUUCUUCGCUCCCUAGCACUAAUCACACUUCAUUAAACAAUCAAAAGGAGUUUAUUUUUCACGACCAAAUAGAGAAUAGAUAAUCAGGAAACAAUUUCAAAAAUAUAUCUUUCAUCUUCUUAGAAGCCUCGGAGAGAGGGCGAGAUUAGGAAAAAAAACUAAAAAGAAAAAAUUAAAAGAACACAACGAAACGCAACUCAAGAUUUCACUUCUAAACCCUAUCAUGACCUAUCAAGGACCCAUCUUUCCCAAGAAAUCAACUCCACUCGAGAUCAAAGAUAUCAGACUAAGCACCAACAAACCCGUCGGAGCAAUCCAAGAAUCUAACAGACCGACCAAAACCCUAGCUCCCACAUGAUCAGUACGUACUCCCGAAGGGAGAGCAAAGGAAGCCAACUUUGGCCGACGCGAAGAAACCCUAGAUCCGGGGAAGAGGGGUGCUUACCUUGCCGGUGGCAGCGAUGCCAUGGGGGCGUAAGAGGGGAGGUCGAAGGGCGAGGAGGAGCUCAGGGACGAUGACCCUCCAGCGGACGCGGCGAAGGCGGGGGAGUCGAAGCGAGGAACGAGGAGUCUGCCGCCUCGGUUG